rnacentral:lncRNA from 1 species
GAAGUCAAAUACCUCAAGGUUUUAGCUGAUUUGUAGGAGUCUUUACCGAAUGAUUGAUUUCCCAUAAAACAUGUUCUGCAAAUUCAUAUACAAACAGAACCCAUAUGAUUAAGUAAAACAGAAUUGCUACCUCAAUCAAGUAAAACUUUGAGAUUCUGUUUUUCAGAAAAUUAAAAAACAAAUGUAAAUUUUUAGUUAGUUUUCCUAUCAUCCUUCUGAACUCUAGCAACUUUUCUCAAUUACUUAAAAAUAAAUCAAAUCUAUCUACUUCACCAUUCAAAAUUCAACUGCACUUUAGAUCUUACAAUCCAAAAACGACAUUGAGCAUAAAUACAAUACACAUCUAUAAAUAUAAAACCAAAAAAUCAAUAUAACAGUAAUAAGCAUUAAAUAAAUGAAUAAUUAACAAAAUUCCAAAAAAUUGUAGUUCAUAUUACCUUAAUAAUGAGUUAUAUCAUUCAACAAUCGAAGAUCUAUACUUUAGAAAAAGUAAAUAACUCGAUCAGAAACACCGACUCCAAAUACAUAAAAUGAAACUUAAGCGAAAUUUGCAAGUUAUACUACUUACGGAAGGGUGGUGGGCAGCCGCUAAAAUGCGUCGGGUGGUAGGGACUUCACUUUUGGCGUAGAAAGGAGGGAGAUGUGUCUUUCUUUCUGUAUGUAGAAAUAAAGAGAACAACCAAAUUAUUGAAUUUCUAUAUAAACGGAAAAAGGGGGAAAAAAAGUGUUCAGAAAAUUAAAUAAUUAAAUGUAACUGAUUAUUUUACUGGUUCUGUUAAAUUAAUUAAUCAUUUUAAUAUUCUGCAAAAUCUUUUUGUAGGUUCAGAUGAUUUUAAUAUUGUGCCAGGUGUGGUGCUAAUUGUCUGCCAUACUUAAAUUGCAAGAACUGAAUCUAGUUAUGAAUAAUCUAACAUAAAAACCUAAUAAUUUGCGGGAUAGAUUACACAAUUUAGAUACACUAUAGCAGUAAAAAUUUGAUAAAUUAGCUAAAUAAUGAAUAAAGAGUUUAUAUAUAUAUAUAUAUAUAUAUAUAUAUAUGAGAUGAGUGAGAUUUGGGUACCGUUUGGGAAUCGAAUAAGGACACUCCUCAAAUCUCUAACCUCCAUUUCUUUUACAGCCGAUAGCAGCACCAUUGUUCUUUCUUUGAUUCACAUCCCUCAAAUCCCUAACCUCCAUUUCAGGUCAGCAGAUCGAGGACACACAGGCGAACGCCUCCGCCGAGACAUCCCGUUCAUGUAGCAAACGAUCACGGCUAUCGAGAAAUGCAGGAAAUCAGUUAUCGCCACUAUCCACGGGGCUUGUGUUGGCGGUGGAAUUGGUAUUAACCCAAAUAUGUGAUGGAUAGAAAGAGAGGAACAAAGCGGAAGAGGAGUGGGAAGGGUUUGUAAACGGCUAAAAAGAUAAAGCGAUGAAGAGACCGAAUUAAAUUGAGAAGGGGAGCGGAAGAGAUCAGACGAUAACCGGUUUAUCGAGAAGAUAAAGCGAUGAAGGGGACCAAAUACAAUUUAAUCGAGAGAGAGGAGAAAUCAACUGAGUCAAUUUUUAAUUAAGUAAGGGUUGACUCAGUGAGUUUUCUAAUUUAAAGGAUUAAAUUAAUUUUAAAUUGAUUGAAUUGGAGGAUAGCUGUGAUAAGUUAUCUUUUAUAAACAAUAAAAUAAAAUACAAAUCCAACAGAAAUCAUCAAAUCAUAAACUAGAUUAAUCACCUAGUUAUAGCCCCCAUUGACUCGAAAUGUUUAGAAAAUCAUAUAAUAUUAUAACAUAAAUUAUCAUAUAUUAAUAACACAGACCUU